AUGCAGUCGAGCGCGAAUAGGGGCAACCCUUAGUAGAGCGGCGCACGGGUGCGUAACACGUGGAUAAUCUGCCUGAGUGCUCGGGAUAACCAGUCGAAAGAUUGGCUAAUACCGGAUAAGCCCACGGUUUCUUCGGAGACUGAGGGAAAAGGUGGCCUCUGUAUACAAGCUAUCACAUUCAGAUGAGUCCGCGGCCCAUCAGCUAGUUGGCGGGGUAAUGGCCCACCAAGGCAACGACGGGUAGCUGGUCUGAGAGGACGAUCAGCCACACUGGAACUGAGACACGGUCCAGACUCCUACGGGAGGCAGCAGUGGGGAAUUUUGCGCAAUGGGCGAAAGCCUGACGCAGCAACGCCGCGUGUGUGAUGAAGGUCUUUGGAUUGUAAAGCACUUUCGACCGGGAAGAAAACCCGUUGGCUAACAUCCAACGGCUUGACGGUACCGGGAGAAGAAGCACCGGCUAACUCUGUGCCAGCAGCCGCGGUAAUACAGAGGGUGCAAGCGUUGUUCGGAAUUAUUGGGCGUAAAGCGCGUGUAGGCGGCGUGACAAGUCGGGUGUGAAAGCCCUCAGCUCAACUGAGGAAGUGCGCCCGAAACUGUUGUGCUUGAGUGCCGGAGAGG
rnacentral:rRNA from 1 species